rnacentral:pre_miRNA from 1 species
UAUAAUGUUUGACUCUUCGUCUUAUUUGAAAAGAAAUUACGAUUAAUAUUUUUAUUUUUAUUAGAUGAUGAAUCGUGAAUAGUACUUUACGUGUGACUAUUUUUUUAAUUGCUUGAAUUUUUUUACAUAAAACGGAUGGUCGAACGCUGUACACGAAAACCAAAG